rnacentral:sRNA from 1 species
UUGGCAGUCCUGCAGACUGAAGUCUCUUUUUAUCCACAUAACAGAUACAGCAUGGAACACUGCAAGCUUCCUUUCUAAUGAGCUACCAAUGUGCACCAGUCCUGACCCGGAGGGUUUCUCUCAGCUGGGUCAGUUAACUCCGGUUUAAAGCACCUCCAAACCUAGCUCAGA